rnacentral:rRNA from 1 species
UACGUAGGGACCAAGCGUUGUUCGGAUUUAUUGGGCGUAAAGAGCUCGUAGGCGGCUUGUCGCGUCGACUGUGAAAUCCCGCGGCUCAACUGCGGGUCUGCAGUCGAUACGGGCAGGCUAGAGUUCGGUAGGGGAGACUGGAAUUCCUGGUGUAGCGGUGAAAUGCGCAGAUAUCAGGAGGAACACCGAUGGCGAAGGCAGGUCUCUGGGCCGAUACUGACGCUGAGGAGCGAAAGCGUGGGGAGCGAACAGG